CCUACGGGAGGCAGCAGUAGGGAAUAUUGCUCAAUGGGGGAAACCCUGAAGCAGCAACGCCGCGUGGAGGAUGAAGGUUUUCGGAUUGUAAACUCCUUUUGUUAGAGAAGAAAAUGACGGUAGCUAACGAAUAAGCACCGGCUAACUCCGUGCCAGCAGCCGCGGUAAUACGGAGGGGGCAAGCGUUACUCGGAAUCACUGGGCGUAAAGAGCGCGUAGGCGGGAUAGCAAGUCAGAUGUGAAAUCCUAUGGCUUAACCAUAGAACUGCAUUUGAAACUGUUAUUCUAGAGUAUGGGAGAGGUAGGUGGAAUUCUUGGUGUAGGGGUAAAAUCCGUAGAUAUCAAGAGGAAUACUCAUUGCGAAGGCGACCUGCUGGAACAUAACUGACGCUGAUGCGCGAAAGCGUGGGGAGCAAACAGGAUUAGAUACCCUUGUAGUC
rnacentral:rRNA from 1 species